rnacentral:rRNA from 1 species
AUUAAUUUUUGAAUUUUGUUAUUUAUUUUAAUUAAAGUUAUGUUAGAGAGGAUAGUUUUUUAUUUAAUUUAAUUGAAUUAUUUUUUUAAUUAAGUUUUUAACGUGAGUGAUGGUAUAUUAAAAUAUUUUAAGUAUAAUUUAUUUUUAGUACCUUUUGUAUCAGGGUUUAUUAAAAAUUUAAAAAAUUAAUUUAUUAAUCUCGAAAUCAGAAGAGUUACGAAUGUAUGUAAGUUAGUGUUUUAACAUUAUUUAAAAUUCAUUUGUGUAGAUGAUAUGUUAAUAGAUUCUGUUGAUAUCUAGUUUUUACCUAAUUUAAUUUAAUUAAUUGUAUUUAUGUAUUCUUUACAAUAGUUGAGAUAAUUUGAUUUAGAUUAUUAGUUAGUUUAAAUCAUGAUAGUACUAAAUAUCUUAGGGUAUUACCUCUAAGAUUAUUUAAAAUUUUUAAUUUAUUUUAAGUAAACUAAUCAAAGUAUUAUUACAGAUAAAAUUUUUGAUAUUUAGAAAAAAUUUAAUAAUUUAUUUUAUUAAAAUAUAUUUAAGAUUUAUUUUUAUAGUAAUUUUUAAUUGUUUAGGUAAAUUAUUUAAUUAAUAAAAAUUUUUAUGAAAUAAUGAUAGAAUAAGUAUAAUUAAUAAUUUUUGUUUAAAAAUUUUAAAUUAUUUUAUUAAUAUUAUAGAUUUAUGAAUUAGGCAAAAUUUAGAUUUAUCUGUUUAUCAAAAACAUAUCCUUUUGUUAAAAAUUUAAGGUGGUCCCUGCUCCAUGAUUAAAAUUAAAUAGCCGCGGUAAUAUGACCGUGCGAAGGUAGCAUAAUAAUUUGCCUUUUAAUUGUAGGCUGGAAUGAAUGGGUUGAUAAAAUCUGAUCUUUAUUAAUUUAUUUUUUUAUAAAUUAAAAUUUUAGUAAAAAUGCUAAAAUUAAUUCAGGGGACGAGAAGACCCUAUAGAGUUUAAUAAAUUAUUUAUUUUUUUUGUAAGUUUUGUUUUUAUAUUAAUGAAUUUUUUAUUUAAUUGGGAGGAUUUAUAAAUUAAUUUAACUUUAUAAAUUUUAAAAAAGCAAUAGUUAUUGAGUUUUUGAUUAUAUAUUUAUAUAUAUUUUAGAAUUAACUACCUUAGGGAUAACAGCGUAAUACUUUUGGAUAGUUCAUAUAGAUAAAAGUGUUUGCGACCUCGAUGUUGAAUUAAGAUUGGGUUACAAGGAGAGUUGUAAUUUUUAAGUCUGUUCGACUUUUUAUAAUCUUACAUGAUUUGAGUUCAGAUCGGCGUGAGCCAGAUCGGUUUCUAUCUUUGAUUAUUUGAACUAAUUUUUGUACGAGAGGACUAAAUUGGUUAAAU